CCAACCAGCACCACCAACACCAGUGCGCCAACCAGCACCACCAGCACCAGUGCGCCAACCAGCACCACCACCCCCAUCAGCAAGUGCAACUACCAUCUGCAGCACCAACAACACAGAUGUUCAUAUAGGACCUUCCACUUCAAUAACCCAGCAUCAAUAUGGUUCAAUCAAGUGGUUUAAUGCUAAAAAGGCCACGAAGGACCUUCUUCUGGCCGUGUUUGGGAGGAGCAUACUUGCCAGCCACUCCUACACUGGCAAACAGUCCAAUGCUUUCCGGACUAAAGCAGCUAAACCCCAGCUUAACCCGGUCAAAGUGAGCGACAUUAUAAAUUACAUCACUAAACGGUUUGGGGUCGACCAGGGGGAGGUAAAGGCCAUCUCCGAGAAAUGUGCGGAUCAGGAAAAGAUGGAGAAGAGGCGGACACAUUGACUGACACACACACACACUGAUUAUUUGUAACAGUAAUAAUUUUUGUUAUUGUUGUUAUUUC